AUUGAACGCUGGCGGAAUGCUUUACACAUGCAAGUCGAGCGGCAGCGCGGGGCAACCUGGCGGCGAGCGGCGAACGGGUGAGUAACAUAUCGGAACGUACCCAGUCGUGGGGGAUAACUAUCCGAAAGGAUAGCUAAUACCGCAUACGACCUGAGGGUGAAAGCGGGGGACCGAAAGGCCUCGCGCGAUUGGAGCGGCCGAUAUCGGAUUAGCUAGUUGGUGAGGUAAAGGCUCACCAAGGCGACGAUCCGUAGCUGGUCUGAGAGGACGACCAGCCACACUGGAACUGAGACACGGUCCAGACUCCUACGGGAGGCAGCAGUGGGGAAUUUGGACAAUGGGGGCAACCCUGAUCCAGCCAUUCCGCGUGAGUGAAGAGGCCUUCGGGUUGUUAAAGCUCUUU
rnacentral:rRNA from 1 species